rnacentral:lncRNA from 1 species
GCCCAACCCAAAGUCAUCUCGUUGCAUAAACCCCAAACCCAGCCGCUUCUGCCCUACUCCUCAGCAGGGUGUGUCCUGGGGCUGCAAGGAGGGUCACCGGUGAAAAAUGGGACCCUGGACCCACCAGAAGCCUUUCACUCUGUGUGGUGAAGGGAGUAGAACCACAUGUCCAUAGUGCCUGUCACCCAAGGGCUCACCAAGCAGGACCACCGUGGCCACCGGUGAAGGCAGCUCGGUGGUGGUGUAGUGAAGUCCUGGGACACCGUUGCUUGCACCAGUUUCUUGGACUCCACAAGUGUGUAGAGAGAGGAGCAAGGAAUGUGAUCCGUCCCAGCAGCCCGGGGGAGCCAGACCAUAUCUGGGUUAAAGGCCUCCUGGAGUCAAGAACAAGCAGGUGUCCCACCGUGCCAGAGACCGCUGCCUAAACUGCUUCCAGCUUCCCCCCCUUUCUGCAAUACGUCUGUGAUCAGCCACGGGAUAGAGGCGCCAGCAGCCUGCCUCUGACCGACAUCAGGUUAGCUCGCUCCCACUCGGGUGCUGCGCCCAGGAUAUAAAUCCAGGCUCGAGCCCCUGCUGUGUUCCUCUCCCUGCGCACCCGGGGUGGGUUGGGG